AUUGAACGCUGGCGGCAUGCCUUACACAUGCAAGUCGAACGGUAACAGGUCUUCGGAUGCUGACGAGUGGCGAACGGGUGAGUAAUACAUCGGAACGUGCCUAGUAGUGGGGGAUAACUACUCGAAAGAGUGGCUAAUACCGCAUGAGAUCUACGGAUGAAAGCAGGGGAUCGCAAGACCUUGUGCUACUAGAGCGGCCGAUGGCAGAUUAGGUAGUUGGUGGGAUAAAAGCUUACCAAGCCGACGAUCUGUAGCUGGUCUGAGAGGACGAUCAGCCACACUGGGAAUGAGAAACGGCACAGACUCCUACGGGAGGCAGCAGUGGGGAAUUUUGGACAAUGGGCGCAAGCCUGAUCCAGCAAUGCCGCGUGCAGGAUGAAGGCCUUCGGGUUGUAAACUGCUUUUGUACGGAACGAAAAGCCCCGGGUUAAUACCCUGGGGUCAUGACGGUACCGUAAGAAUAAGCACCGGCUAACUACGUGCCAGCAGCCGCAGUAAAAC
rnacentral:rRNA from 1 species